UACGUAGGGUGCGAGCGUUGUCCGGAAUUACUGGGCGUAAAGAGCUUGUAGGUGGUUUGUCGCGUUGUUCGUGAAAUCUCACGGCUUAACUGUGAGCGUGCGGGCGAUACGGGCAGACUAGAGUACUGCAGGGGAGACUGGAAUUCCUGGUGUAGCGGUGGAAUGCGCAGAUAUCAGGAGGAACACCGGUGGCGAAGGCGGGUCUCUGGGCCACUACUGACGCUGAGGAGCGAAAGCGUGGGGAGCGAACAGG
rnacentral:rRNA from 1 species